CACCGGAUCCCAUCAGAACUCCGAAGUUAAGCGUGCUUGGGCGAGAGUAGUACUAGGAUGGGUUACCUCCUGGGAAGUCCUCGUGUUGCCCCCCC
rnacentral:rRNA from 1 species